rnacentral:rRNA from 1 species
AGUACAACAUAGGAAAUCUGCCUUAGGGUGGGGGACAACAGAGGGAAACUUCUGCUAAUACCCCAUAUGAGCUUGGUUGAAAUACCAAUCUUGAAAGUUCCGGCGCCCUAAGAUGAGCCUGUGCCUGAUUAGCUAGUUGGUGGUGUAAUGGACUACCAAGGCGACGAUCAGUAGCUGGUUUGAGAGGAUGAUCAGCCACAAUGGGACUGAGACACGGCCCAUACUCCUACGGAAGGCAGCAG